rnacentral:rRNA from 1 species
GACGAACGCUGGCGGCGUGCCUAAUACAUGCAAGUCGAGCGCAUGAGACAAAGCGAUCCCUUCGGGGUGAACUUUGUGGAAUGAGCGGCGGACGGGUGAGUAACACGUGGGCAACCUACCUGUAAGAUUGGGAUAACUCCGGGAAACCGGUGCUAAUACCGAAUAAUCUUUUUUAUCUCCUGAUAGGAAAGUGAAAGAUGGUUUCGGCUAUCACUUACAGAUGGGCCUGCGGCGCAUUAGCUAGUUGGUAGGGUAAUGGCCUACCAAGGCGACGAUGCGUAGCCGACCUGAGAGGGUGAUCGGCCACACUGGGACUGAGACACGGCCCAGACUCCUACGGGAGGCAGCAGUAGGGAAUCUUCCGCAAUGGACGCAAGUCUGACGGAGCAACGCCGCGUGAGUGAUGAAGGUUUUCGGAUCGUAAAACUCUGUUGUUAGGGAAGAACAAGUAUGAGAGUAACUGCUCGUACCUUGACGGUACCUAACCAGAAAGCCCCGGCUAACUACGUGCCAGCCGCCGCAGUAAAAC